GAUGAACGCUGGCGGCGUGCCUAAUACAUGCAAGUCGAGCGAACAGACGAGGAGCUUGCUCCUCUGACGUUAGCGGCGGACGGGUGAGUAACACGUGGAUAACCUACCUAUAAGACUGGGAUAACUUCGGGAAACCGGAGCUAAUACCGGAUAAUAUAUUGAACCGCAUGGUUCAAUAGUGAAAGACGGUUUUGCUGUCACUUAUAGAUGGAUCCGCGCCGCAUUAGCUAGUUGGUAAGGUAACGGCUUACCAAGGCAACGAUGCGUAGCCGACCUGAGAGGGGGAUCGGCCACACUGGAACUGAGACCCGGUCCAGACUCCUACGGGAGGCAGCAGUAGGGAAUCUUCCGCAAGGGGCGAAAGCCUGACGGAGCAACGCCGCGGGAGUGAUGAAGGUCUUCGGAUCGUAAAACUCUGUUAUUAGGGAAGAACAAAUGUGUAAGUAACUAUGCACGUCUUGACGGUACCUAAUCAGAAAGCCACGGCUAACUACGUG
rnacentral:rRNA from 1 species